AUAAGCAUUUUGUAAGCAAAAAAAAAAGAAAAAAUAAAAAAAUUAUAUUUUUAAUUAUAGCUCUAAUUAGAUUUUUGCCUGCAAAACCAUUCAUUAAAUUCACGUAAUCGAGUUUUUCAAACAUAGUUGUUUUAAUGGAUAGCAAAGCCAACUCAUUUAUUUGAUUAAUCAAAACAAAGUUUUUUAUUUUGUAAUCAAAGUUCAAGCACCUUACAUUAGAAAGUUUUUAAUUUUUAAUUUUUCUUUAAUUGUUUAUUUUGUAAUCAAAGUUUUAGAGUUUAAGUAUUUUCCAAAAGCUUAACAAACUGCAAGGAAGUGUUACCGCCCCAAUAGUUAAGAGAAACACAUUGCUCUCGCAGACCGAAGUCCUGAUAUCUCCAAGUCUUCUUUCGAGAUCAUCCAUUGUUGUUCUACAUUUACAAAUGAAGCCUUAAUUAAAAACCUUAAACAACAAAAUUAACCGAAUUUCGAUAGUAUGAAAACUCUAGUUACGAAAUAAUAACUAGAAACUCAGCAUAAAAUUAGGGAAAAUUAGCUAGCACACAGACCUGAAAGGCCAAGUUUCAUUCUUUUUCUUUUUUGUAUAAAUGAAAACACUUCACGUUGUAUAAAUGAAAACGGUGGGGAAUUUAUACUAACAGCUCUGUAUACAAGUUAUGAUGCACCUAGCAUAAAACUAAACAAAUAUACAUACAUUAUAACUUGUACAUUGUUAGUACAUACAUAAAAGCUUUUUACCUUUUUCGUAUCUCGUUUUUUCUUUCCUUUCCUAAUUAUUCUUUCAUCUUUCUGGUUAUCCUUUU
rnacentral:sRNA from 1 species